GAGAUUUGGCAAGUUUGAUGAUGUUCUUGAACCAGGAUGUCAUUGCAUGCCUUGGAUUCUUGGAAGACAGAUUGCUGGCCAUCUCUCGCUUCGAUUGCAGCAGUUGGAUGUUCGUUGCGAAACCAAGACAAAGGAUAAUGUGUUUGUCAACGUGGUUGCAUCAGUCCAAUAUCGUGCUCUAGCAGAUAAAGCAAGUGAUGCUUUC
rnacentral:misc_RNA from 1 species